UCUUAACGGCGGUCCUUACCAUGCAAGUCGAACGAUGAAGCCCAGCUUGCUGGGUGGAUUAGUGGCGAACGGGUGAGUAACACGUGAGUAACCUGCCCUUAACUCUGGGAUAAGCCUGGGAAACUGGGUCUAAUACCGGAUAGGAGCGCCUACCGCAUGGUGGGUGUUGGAAAGAUUUAUCGGUUUUGGAUGGACUCGCGGCCUAUCAGCUUGUUGGUGAGGG
rnacentral:rRNA from 1 species